rnacentral:lncRNA from 1 species
CCAAAGAGAUAUCUAAGAAGCGGAAGAGGGCGACAACAAAGGGCGGAAGCGGAAGCCAGAGUCCGGCAUGGAACGCCUCCUGAUACAGGCAAAAACGACCGGGUGGGGGAGUGCUAGCCCGGUUGGAGGGGUCAGGAAGCUCCACGUCAUACUCCGGAGAAACUCCAUACUGAACCCUUAUCAGUAGGAGUUCAUCCGAAGUCAGGGAACAGGGAAUAGCACCAGACACAAAAACCAGGCGAAGCCCGGUCCCAGGAGUGGGUUCGUCUACAGGAUGGGGCUCCUGGGGGGCUGAGGCGGAAGAACUCCCGGAACCGCUAGAGGCGGAGGUGUCGGAAGAUAUUUUGAAUGAUUUCAAACGAAGACCCUAAAGAUCCCGGAGAAAUCAGGUGGGACAAAGGACGAGAGGUCGUGGGAGACCAAAUUAGAGGAAUGCAACAGAAGAAAAUGGAGGAGAAAAGGCCCCUAAAUGGCAAGAAGAAAAACGAAGGUUCUGGGACUAACCUAGACUGCUCUGAAGGAUGCAGAGGGGCGAGGACAGGGAUGACUCGAAAGACGCUUAGGGCCAAAGAAGACGCCAAGGAGGGUCAGGACUCUCGGAGAAAAGGCGGAUGCUGAUAGAACUUUCAGGCAGAAAGGUGGGUUUAAAUAGACCCUGGGAUCCGGUGCCAUAAUGAUCGUGAAUCCCCCAG